GCGCGAAAACUUCACAAUGCGCGAAAGCGCGAUGAGGGAAUCCCAAGUGCUUGCACGUAAGUGUAAGCUGUUUCUAUGUUUAAAACGCAUGGAGAGUAAGAGCUGGGUAAGACGGGUGCCAGCCGCCGCGGUAAUACCUGCAGCUCGAGUGGUGGCCGCUAUUAUUGGGCCUAAAACGUCCGUAGCCGGCUUAUUAAAUGCCUGGGUAAAUCGUAUGGCUUAACCAUACGAAUUCCGGGUAGACUGAUAGGCUUGGGACCGGGAGAAGCUAGAGGUACUCCUGGGGUAGAGGUGAAAUUCUGUAAUCCUAGGGGGACCACCAGUGGCGAAGGCGUCUAGCUAGAACGGGUUUGACGGUGAGGGACGAAGCCCUGGGGAGCAAACGGGAUUAGAUACCCCGGUAGUCCAGGGUGUAAACGCUGCUUGCUUGAUGUUAGUUAGGCUUCGAGCCUGAUUAGUGUCGGAGAGAAGUUGUUAAGCAAGCUGCCUGGGAAGUACGGCCGCAAGACUGAAACUUAAAGGAAUUGGCGGGGGAGCAC
rnacentral:rRNA from 1 species